rnacentral:rRNA from 1 species
GUCUACGGCCAUGCCACCCUGAACACUCCCGAUCUCAUCUGAUCUCGGAAGCUAAGCAGGGUCGGGCCUAGUUAAUACUUUGAUGGAAAACCACCUAGGAAUACCAGGUGCUGUAGGCA